UCACAGAGCCAGGGGCCCAGGGAAUGCUGGGCUGCGGGGAGGGGGCAGCGGGGACCGUCCCUGUGGGGCUCUGCCCUGUGUGCCCUGGCUGUGGCCUCCUCCCAGCCAGCCAUCGGGCAUCGGGACAGAAGUCCUGGUGACUGCUGUGACGCGUCUUGAGGACAGUGCAGCCAGAGGUGGGCCCGACAGCCCGGGUCCGUCUUCUGUCUCGGAGACCCCUGCCGGGUGCUGACCUUGGGCACAUGAACUUCACCUCUGUCUGGGCUUUCAACUCCGCAAAGUGGAAAUAAUGCUGCUCCCUGGUCCCAGAUGUAUUUUUAGGAUGGAGUGAAGUCAGGUGGGUGGAAGACAUUUGGCGCAGUGCCUACGUGUUGUGAGCGUUCCCGCCAUCGUUGCUGUUGACAACACGUGCAAGAACAGGUGACACCUUCCCAGUCUGUCUUUCAGGGCCACAUAAAUGUCACCUGGCUGGAUUUUGAAUAUCUGACUGCUCCCUUCUCAAAUCUUUUUGAGUCACAUAGCUCCCUUGUAAUGGGUCCCGGGCACGAGUUGAACAGCAUAAUCAGAUCUUUGUUCUCUGACCAUUACCGGGUGCCUGAGGGUUAUGGCACCGAGAAGCUUCUAGGCCCCCAAGACAGCCACGUCUAUAUGACUUGAGGAGCAGCCAUGAGAGAGCUCACGUAGCUCUCUCUCUAUGUCCGACACAGGUUUGUGCUGGAUGCUCACCUUUCAGUUCCAUAAAUGCUUUCAGACUGAAGAGGAAAUGUCACCUGGGGGUAUAAACAGGUGUGUCUCUGUGAGCAUCUGACGGAAGGCAGACCUCAUCAGGAUCUUCACUCUAUGACCCUGGAAAGGAAAGAGCCAGAAGGGACCUAAGAGGCCAUGUGGACCUACUCUUUCCCUCAUCCCAUUAUAUAUAGGUUGGGAUGCUGAGGCCUGAAGAAGCAAAGCAUCUUCCCAGGUUGUCAGCUAGUCAGCUCUGUGGAAACUGCCUGAGCUGGUCGCCCGUCUGGGGAGCUGGCCAGCUGCUGGGUCAUCAUGGGCGGCUGUGACUGUGUAGCUGUGGGGACUUGACUCGGCUUCAUGUGUCUCUCGUAUCCCAGCAGGCCAGCCCCCACUUAUGGAAGAGACCACAAAUAAUUGAGUACAAACAUGCAGGCUUCACAAGCUUUACCUCGUGGUUGGGAAGAGUCCUAUUUUGGAGACAAGAAGCCUUUUCAGAGAGAACUAAUUCAUAACAUGAAGACAGUUGUGCUGUGGCCUGAGAACUGAACUGGGAAGCAAGGGACCUGGGUUUCAGUGCUGCCUCUGCCAAGUCAGAAAAAAAUAACACCACAAAUAUGAGCUUCCCUUGGGCGAUUGCUAAGUAUCUCAGUACUUGUCAGCAGGAGAGGAGGCUACAAAAAAAUACAUUUUCUCUCAGUUUGCAUAUUUGAACUCCUGAUAAUAUAUGUUCUCUUCUUUAAAAAAAUAUUUAUUUAUUUAUUUGAGGUGGGGGCAAGGGGAGGAACAGAGGGAGAGGGGCCCAGCACCAGAGCCUGAGGCAGGGCUCCAUCUCACAACCCUGAGAUCACGACCAGAGCCGACAUGGAGUUGGACGCUCAGUUGACUGAGCCACCCAGGCGCCCCCUGAUAAUAUAUUCUUCAAGAAGAUGAACAUUCCCCGGCUGCUAAUGACUUUGGUAAUUUCGUUUUCUAUGCAAUGUAUUAAGGAUCCUUGAUCAUCAGUUUUAACUACUUUCACAGUAAUGCUUAAAUAUUUGUGUAAGUCAUAAAAUGAUGGCUGGAGGAGAAAUCAAAGUCACAACAUGAUGGUUAGUGUGGGAAUUAAAGCCAAACAUCGUUAAUGUGAAAAUUAACGAUUUUAAGUUUCAUAAUAGUUGAUGCAAGCGAGUUAGCAGUUAAAGCGUGACCAUGCUUUCCUCAAAGUCGGGGGAAAAUUUGUUUCGAUGGCGUUGGAGAUGAACACACUUGGCCAUUUUCCUUCUGUCAUAGAGGCGGUUCUGGCAGUUUUCUUGAAUCUUCAACACCAAGUAAAUGCUUUGUUUGCUGUUGGUUUAAACACAAACAAAAUCAGGUCCAACGCCUUGGCACCUGCAGAUCCUGCUGGUUUUUGAGGGUCCAGGGUAAGGGCACCAAAGCAGGGCAAUUUCUGGGGAGCUGAAUUCGGAAUGCCUGAGCUGGGUGUUUCUGAUCCUUCCCCACCCUUAAAUUCUGGGGAACGCUGAGGCCUGGAAGGGGAACGAGACUCGCCUGCAGGAGCGUCAGAGGACCACCUGGAACAUGGGAUCCUCAUCUUGGUUCGCUGCACAUGGUGUCAGCUCACUUUCCUCCCUCCUACACAGUUCAUGUCCCUUUAAACGGUGACUUGCCAGUUCCUAGAAGCCCUAAUUCAAGACGUAAUUUGUCUCCCUCUGCUUUCAGAGAGAGAGAAAACAAUGUCAUAUAAUGUUGCCCCAGGGGAACGUGGACGGGGAGCCGUUUCCUGCGCUCGCCACCUGAGCACACUCAGCCCGACCCCUGUGAGUUUGUUACGUAGAUCCGGGGCCUGUCUCGUUCUGUCUCAGGCUUCCCAGCCCUCUCUUCCGUGGCUGGCCCUGGAAUAUCGCAGGGAUGCCUUCUUUGCCUUGGUGCCUGGUGUGUGAUCCCACGUUAUUAUGAAGUCAGGGCGGGAAAGAGGUUGAAGGUGUUAGCAUCUGGCACCGACAGGUGUGAGAUGGACGAGCUCCCGGGGGGCGGGGGGCCCUCAAAUCUCCCCUGAUCAGAGGGCAAAUGGAUCUCAGGAGAAGUGUGGCCCGGGGACUCCGGUCCUGUCACUCUGAUUCACGUGGGACAGUGGAGCCUGUGGGCAGAACGAUGCCUUCGAGUACAGGAGAGGCACCUGCUGAUUUCUGGAGCCGCAACUUGGCAUCUGGAGUCUCUCACUUCUUCGGAGAGAAGCAACAGGCUGGCCUCACUUGCCGACAGCGGCCACGAUUGGGUUUGCCUCUGGACCACGGUUCGGAAUGAUUUCUCCGCUGUAUUUUGU